AUAUCAAUAAGCGGAGGAAAAGAAACUAACAAGGAUUCCCCUAGUAACUGCGAGUGAAGCGGGAAAAGCUCAAAUUUAAAAUCUGGCAGUCUUUGRCUGUCCGAGUUGUAAUCUAGAGAAGUGUUAUCCGCGCUGGACCGUGUACAAGUCUCCUGGAAUGGAGCGUCAUAGAGGGUGAGAAUCCCGUCUUUGACACGGACUGCCAGGGCUUUGUGAUGCGCUCUCAAAGAGUCGAGUUGUUUGGGAAUGCAGCUCAAAAUGGGUGGUAAAUUCCAUCUAAAGCUAAAUAUUGGCGAGAGACCGAUAGCGAACAAGUACCGUGAGGGAAAGAUGAAAAGAACUUUGGAAAGAGAGUUAAACAGUACGUGAAAUUGCUGAAAGGGAAACGCUUGAAGUCAGUCGCGUUGUCCAGGGAUCAACCUUGCUUUUGCUUGGUGCACUUUCUGGUUGACGGGUCAGCAUCAAUUUUGACUAUUGGAAAAAGAUUAGGGGAAUGUGACAUCCUUGGAUGUGUUAUAGCCCUUGGUUGUAUACAAUGGUUGGGAUUGAGGAACUCAGCACGCCGCAAGGCCGGGUUUUUAACCACGUACGUGCUUAGGAUGCUGGCAUAAUGGCUUUAAUCGACCCGUCUUGAAACACGGACCAAGGAGUCUAACAUGCCUGCGAGUGUUUGGGUGGAAAACUCGAGCGCGUAAUGAAAGUGAAAGUUGAGAUCCCUGUCGUGGGGAGCAUCGACGCCCGGACCAGACCUUUUGUGACGGUUCCGCGGUAGAGCAUGUAUGUUGGGACCCGAAAGAUGGUGAACUAUGCCUGAAUAGGGUGAAGCCAGAGGAAACUCUGGUGGAGGCUCGUAGCGAUUCUGACGUGCAAAUCGAUCGUCAAAUUUGGGUAUAGGGGCGAAAGACUAAUCGAACCAUCUAGUAGCUGGUUCCUGC
rnacentral:rRNA from 1 species